rnacentral:misc_RNA from 1 species
UCCGUGUUAACCACGGCAGUCUCCUUAGAGAGCCCAACUGAAUGCUGGCAACUAAGGACAAGGGUUGCGCUCGUUGCGGGACUUAACCCAACAUGUCACCACACGAGCUGACGACAGCCAUGCAGCACCUGUCACUCUGUCGUAUUGCUACGAAGACCGUAUCUCUACGGCUGUCAGAGGAUGUCAAACCCAGGUAAGGUUCUUCGCGUUGCUUCGAAUUAAACCACAUGAUCCACCGCUUGUGCGGGCCCCCGUCAAUUCCUUUGAGUUUUAGUCUUGCGACCGUACUUCCCAGGCGGGGUACUUAUUGCGUUAGCGCCAACUCGGCAGGGGUCAAGACCCACCAAGUUUAGUACCCAUCGUUUACGGCGUGGACUAC